rnacentral:rRNA from 1 species
UAUGUGAUCGUCUCUCGCAUAUCAAUAGCGGAGGAAAAGAAACUAACAAGGAUUCCCCUAGUAACGGCGAGUGAAGCGGGAAGAGCUCAAAUUUGAAAUCUUAAAGGGUUUCCCUUUACGAAUUGUAGUUUAAAGAAGUGUUUUCUGUUGAGGUUUUGGUAAAAGUUCUUUGGAAUAGGACAUCAUAGAGGGUGAGAAUCCCGUAUUUGACCUUUACUUUCAACUUUGUGAUACACUUUCAAAGAGUCGGAUUGUUUGGGAAUGCAGUCCAAAAUGGGUGGUAAAUUUCAUCUAAGGCUAAAUAUUGGCGAGAGACCGAUAGCGAACAAGUACCGUGAGGGAAAGAUGAAAAGAACUUUGAAAAGAGAGUUAAACAGUACGUGAAAUUGUCAAAAGGGAAGCGUUUGACACCAGUGUUGUUUUUCUGAAAAUCAAUUAAAGAACUGUUUAUGCUAAGCUGUUUAGACUUUAUCAGCUGAACUGCUUUAGUUUUGAGCUUUUCUUUAAUGCACUUUUCAGUUAACAAGUCAACAUCAAUUUCUUUUGCUGUAAAAAAGCUUGAGGAAGGUGGCUUGAGAUUCGUCUUAAGUGUUUAUAGCCUCUUGCCUAUGCAGUCGGAGAGAUUGAGGUCUGCAGCGUAGAUCCUUCGGGGCUAAAUGCAUUUGUGCUAAGUUAUAGCAUUUUAUAGACAACUUGUUGACUAUGAUUUGUCUUGUAGCUUACUCGCUUAUGUUAUUUUACCUACGCUUAGGAUGUUGAUAUCGCGCUCUCACUG